GAGAGUAUAGUUUAGUGGUAUAGAACCUGCUUAGCAUGCACAAGGUCCUGGGUUCAAUCCCUAGUACCUCCA
rnacentral:tRNA from 1 species